rnacentral:rRNA from 1 species
UAGGGAAUCUUCCGCAAUGGACGCAAGUCUGACGGAGCAACGCCGCGUGAGUGAAGAAGGAUUUCGGUUCGUAAAACUCUGUUGUUAGAGAAGAACAGCGCAUAGAGUAACUGUUAUGCGUGUGACGGUAUCUAACCAGAAAGCCACGGCUAACUACGUGCCAGCAGCCGCGGUAAUACGUAGGUGGCAAGCGUUGUCCGGAUUUAUUGGGCGUAAAGCGAGCGCAGGCGGUCAAUUAAGUCUGAUGUGAAAGCCCCCGGCUCAACCGGGGAGGGUCAUUGGAAACUGGUUGACUUGAGUGCAGAAGAGGAGAGUGGAAUUCCAUGUGUAGCGGUAAAAUGCGUAGAUAUAUGGAGGAACACCAGUGGCGAAGACGACUCUCUGGUCUGUAACUGACGCUGAGGUUCGAAAGCGUGGGUAGCAAACAGG